rnacentral:tRNA from 1 species
GUGAUAUAGCUAGUUGGUAGAGUGCUUGCCUCAUAUAUACAAGGCCCUGGGUUCAAUUCCCAGCACA